rnacentral:rRNA from 1 species
AUUGAACGCUGGCGGCAGGCCUAACACACGCAAGUCGAGCGGAGCGGCGGACGGGUGAGUAAAGCAUAGGAAUCUGCCUGGUAGUGGGGGAUAACGUCCGGAAACGGGCGCUAAUACCGCAUACUAUCAGAUGAGACUAGGUCGGAUUAGCUAGAUGGGGGGGUAAAGGCCUACCAAGGCGAGGAUCCGUAACUGGUCUGAGAGGAUGAUUAGUCACACUGGAAUGUAGAAGCGGUCCAGACUCCUACGGGAGUCAGCAGUGCAGAAUAGUGGACUAGUGGAGAAAGCCUGAUCCAGCCCUGCCGCGUGUGUGAAGAAGGUCUUCGGAUUGUAAAGCACUUCAAGUUGUGAGUCGUUACCAUCUGAAUAAGCACCGGCUAACUUCGUGCCAGCAGCCGCGGUAAUUC